rnacentral:rRNA from 1 species
AGUGAACGCUGGCGGUAGGCCUAACACAUGCAAGUCGAACGGCAGCACAGUAAGAGCUUGCUCUUACGGGUGGCGAGUGGCGGACGGGUGAGGAAUACAUCGGAAUCUACUUUUUCGUGGGGGAUAACGUAGGGAAACUUACGCUAAUACCGCAUACGACCUACGGGUGAAAGCAGGGGAUCUUCGGACCUUGCGCGAUUGAAUGAGCCGAUGUCGGAUUAGCUAGUUGGCGGGGUAAGGGCCCACCAAGGCGACGAUCCGUAGCUGGUCUGAGAGGAUGAUCAGCCACACUGGAACUGAGACACGGUCCAGACUCCUACGGGAGGCAGCAGUGGGGAAUAUUGGACAAUGGGCGCAAGCCUGACCCAGCCAUACCGCGUGGGUGAAGAAGGCCUUCGGGUUGUAAAGCCCUGUUGUUGGGAAAGAAAAGCAGCAGGUUAAUACCCCGCUGUUCUGACGGUACCCAAAGAAUAAGCACCGGCUAACUUCGUG